rnacentral:rRNA from 1 species
UACGAGGGGGGCGAGCGUUGUUCGGAAUUAUUGGGCGUAAAGGGUGCGUAGGCGGCCUGACAAGUCUGAUGUGAAAUCCCUGGGCUCAACCCAGGGCCUGCAUCGGAAACUGUCGGGCUUGAGUAUGGGAGAGGUGAGUGGAAUUUCCGGUGUAGCGGUGAAAUGCGUAGAUAUCGGAAGGAACACCUGUGGCGAAAGCGGCUCACUGGACCAUUACUGACGCUGAGGCACGAAA